GAAACAUCUUCGGGUUGUGAGGUUAAGCGACUAAGCGUACACGGUGGAUGCCCUGGCAGUCAGAGGCGAUGAAGGACGUGCUAAUCUGCGAUAAGCGUCGGUAAGGUGAUAUGAACCGUUAUAACCGGCGAUUUCCGAAUGGGGAAACCCAGUGUGAUUCGUCACACUAUCAUUAACUGAAUCCAUAGGUUAAUGAGGCGAACCGGGGGAACUGAAACAUCUAAGUACCCCGAGGAAAAGAAAUCAACCGAGAUUCCCCCAGUAGCGGCGAGCGAACGGGGAGCAGCCCAGAGCCUGAAUCAGUGUGUGUGUUAGUGGAAGCGUCUGGAAAGGCGCGCGAUACAGGGUGACAGCCCCGUACACAAAAAUGCACAUGCUGUGAGCUCGAUGAGUAGGGCGGGACACGUGGUAUCCUGUCUGAAUAUGGGGGGACCAUCCUCCAAGGCUAAAUACUCCUGACUGACCGAUAGUGAACCAGUACCGUGAGGGAAAGGCGAAAAGAACCCCGGCGAGGGGAGUGAAAAAGAACCUGAAACCGUGUACGUACAAGCAGUGGGAGCACGCUUAGGCGUGUGACUGCGUACCUUUUGUAUAAUGGGUCAGCGACUUAUAUUCUGUAGCAAGGUUAACCGAAUAGGGGAGCCGAAGGGAAACCGAGUCUUAACUGGGCGUUAAGUUGCAGGGUAUAGACCCGAAACCCGGUGAUCUAGCCAUGGGCAGGUUGAAGGUUGGGUAACACUAACUGGAGGACCGAACCGACUAAUGUUGAAAAAUUAGCGGAUGACUUGUGGCUGGGGGUGAAAGGCCAAUCAAACCGGGAGAUAGCUGGUUCUCCCCGAAAGCUAUUUAGGUAGCGCCUCGUGAAUUCAUCUCCGGGGGUAGAGCACUGUUUCGGCAAGGGGGUCAUCCCGACUUACCAACCCGAUGCAAACUGCGAAUACCGGAGAAUGUUAUCACGGGAGACACACGGCGGGUGCUAACGUCCGUCGUGAAGAGGGAAACAACCCAGACCGCCAGCUAAGGUCCCAAAGUCAUGGUUAAGUGGGAAACGAUGUGGGAAGGCCCAGACAGCCAGGAUGUUGGCUUAGAAGCAGCCAUCAUUUAAAGAAAGCGUAAUAGCUCACUGGUCGAGUCGGCCUGCGCGGAAGAUGUAACGGGGCUAAACCAUGCACCGAAGCUGCGGCAGCGACGCUUAUGCGUUGUUGGGUAGGGGAGCGUUCUGUAAGCCUGUGAAGGUGUACUGUGAGGUAUGCUGGAGGUAUCAGAAGUGCGAAUGCUGACAUAAGUAACGAUAAAGCGGGUGAAAAGCCCGCUCGCCGGAAGACCAAGGGUUCCUGUCCAACGUUAAUCGGGGCAGGGUGAGUCGACCCCUAAGGCGAGGCCGAAAGGCGUAGUCGAUGGGAAACAGGUUAAUAUUCCUGUACUUGGUGUUACUGCGAAGGGGGGACGGAGAAGGCUAUGUUGGCCGGGCGACGGUUGUCCCGGUUUAAGCGUGUAGGCUGGUUUUCCAGGCAAAUCCGGAAAAUCAAGGCUGAGGCGUGAUGACGAGGCACUACGGUGCUGAAGCAACAAAUGCCCUGCUUCCAGGAAAAGCCUCUAAGCAUCAGGUAACAUCAAAUCGUACCCCAAACCGACACAGGUGGUCAGGUAGAGAAUACCAAGGCGCUUGAGAGAACUCGGGUGAAGGAACUAGGCAAAAUGGUGCCGUAACUUCGGGAGAAGGCACGCUGAUAUGUAGGUGAAGCGACUUGCUCGUGGAGCUGAAAUCAGUCGAAGAUACCAGCUGGCUGCAACUGUUUAUUAAAAACACAGCACUGUGCAAACACGAAAGUGGACGUAUACGGUGUGACGCCUGCCCGGUGCCGGAAGGUUAAUUGAUGGGGUCAGCGCAAGCGAAGCUCUUGAUCGAAGCCCCGGUAAACGGCGGCCGUAACUAUAACGGUCCUAAGGUAGCGAAAUUCCUUGUCGGGUAAGUUCCGACCUGCACGAAUGGCGUAAUGAUGGCCAGGCUGUCUCCACCCGAGACUCAGUGAAAUUGAACUCGCUGUGAAGAUGCAGUGUACCCGCGGCAAGACGGAAAGACCCCGUGAACCUUUACUAUAGCUUGACACUGAACAUUGAGCCUUGAUGUGUAGGAUAGGUGGGAGGCUUUGAAGUGUGGACGCCAGUCUGCAUGGAGCCGACCUUGAAAUACCACCCUUUAAUGUUUGAUGUUCUAACGUUGACCCGUAAUCCGGGUUGCGGACAGUGUCUGGUGGGUAGUUUGACUGGGGCGGUCUCCUCCUAAAGAGUAACGGAGGAGCACGAAGGUUGGCUAAUCCUGGUCGGACAUCAGGAGGUUAGUGCAAUGGCAUAAGCCAGCUUGACUGCGAGCGUGACGGCGCGAGCAGGUGCGAAAGCAGGUCAUAGUGAUCCGGUGGUUCUGAAUGGAAGGGCCAUCGCUCAACGGAUAAAAGGUACUCCGGGGAUAACAGGCUGAUACCGCCCAAGAGUUCAUAUCGACGGCGGUGUUUGGCACCUCGAUGUCGGCUCAUCACAUCCUGGGGCUGAAGUAGGUCCCAAGGGUAUGGCUGUUCGCCAUUUAAAGUGGUACGCGAGCUGGGUUUAGAACGUCGUGAGACAGUUCGGUCCCUAUCUGCCGUGGGCGCUGGAGAACUGAGGGGGGCUGCUCCUAGUACGAGAGGACCGGAGUGGACGCAUCACUGGUGUUCGGGUUGUCAUGCCAAUGGCACUGCCCGGUAGCUAAAUGCGGAAGAGAUAAGUGCUGAAAGCAUCUAAGCACGAAACUUGCCCCGAGAUGAGUUCUCCCUGACCCUUUAAGGGUCCUGAAGGAACGUUGAAGACGACGACGUUGAUAGGCCGGGUGUGUAAGCGCAGCGAUGCGUUGAGCUAACCGGUACUAAUGAACCGUGAGGCUUAACCUU
rnacentral:rRNA from 1 species